rnacentral:rRNA from 1 species
CCUACGGGAGGCAGCAGUGGGGAAUAUUGGGCAAUGGGCGCAAGCCUGACCCAGCCACGCCGCGUGAAGGAAGAAGGCUUUCGGGUUGUAAACUUCUUUUCUGAGGGACGAAGAAAGUGACGGUACCUCCGGAAUAAGCCACGGCUAACUACGUGCCAGCAGCCGCGGUAAUCCGUAGGUGGCAAGCGUUAUCCGAUUUAUUGGGUGUAAAGGGAGUGUAGGCGGGAAAUCAAGUCAGAUGUGAAAACUCAGGGCUCAACCCUGGGCCUGCAUUUGAAACUGUUUUGCUUGAGUGCUGGAGAGGGAAGCGGAAUUCCGGGUGUAGCGGUGAAAUGCGUAGAUAUACGGAGGAACACCAGUGGCGAAGGCGGAUUGCUGGACAGUAACGGACGCUGAGGCGCGAAAGCGUGGGGAGCAAACAGGAUUAGAUACCCUAGUAGUC